rnacentral:rRNA from 1 species
AUUGAACGCUGGCGGCAGGCCUAACACAUGCAAGUCGAACGAGUGGCGGACGGGUGAGUAAUGUCUGGGAAACUGCCCGAUGGAGGGGGGUCACUACUGGAAACGGUAGCUAAUACCGCAUACCCUCGGAUGUGCCCAGAUGGGAUUGGCUAGUGGGUGGGGGAACGGCUCACCUAGGCGACGAGCCCUAGCUGGUCUGAGAGGAUGACCAGCCACACUGGAACUGAGACACGGUCCAGACUCCUACGGGAGGCAGCAGUGGGGAAUAUUGCACAAUGGGCGCAAGCCUGAUGCAGCCAUGCCGCGUGUAUGAAGAAGGCCUUCGGGUUGUAAAGUACUUUCAGCGAGGAGGCGUUACUCGCAGAAGAAGCACCGGCUAACUCCGUGCCAGCAGCCGCGGUAAUAC